rnacentral:rRNA from 1 species
GAUGAACGCUGGCGGCGUGCCUAAUACAUGCAAGUCGAGCGAACAGACGAGGAGCUUGCUCCUCUGACGUUAGCGGCGGACGGGUGAGUAACACGUGGAUAACCUACCUAUAAGACUGGGAUAACUUCGGGAAACCGGAGCUAAUACCGGAUAAUAUAUUGAACCGCAUGGUUCAAUAGUGAAAGACGGUUUUGCUGUCACUUAUAGAUGGAUCCGCGCCGCAUUAGCUAGUUGGUAAGGUAACGGCUUACCAAGGCAACGAUGCGUAGCCGACCUGAGAGGCUGAUCGGCCACGCUGGAACUGGAACACGAUCCGGACUCCUGCGGGAGGCAGCAGUAGGGAAUCUUCCGCAAUGGGCGAAAUCCUGACGAAGCAACACCGCGUGAGUGAUGGAGGUCUUCGGAUCGUAAAACUCUGUUAUUAGGGAAGAACAAAUGUCUAAGUAACUAUGCACGUCUUGACGGUACCUAAUCAGAAAGCCACGGCUAACUACGUG